UACGUAGGGUGCAAGCGUUGUCCGGAAUUAUUGGGCGUAAAGAGCUCGUAGGCGGCCUGUCGCGUCGGCUGUGAAAACUCAGGGCUCAACCCUGAGCCUGCAGUCGAUACGGGCAGGCUAGAGUCCGGCAGGGGAGACUGGAAUUCCUGGUGUAGCGGUGAAAUGCGCAGAUAUCAGGAGGAACACCGGUGGCGAAGGCGGUUCUCUGGGCAUUACCUGACGCUGAGGAGCGAAAGUGUGGGGAGCGAACAGG
rnacentral:rRNA from 1 species